ensembl:lncRNA
CUGGCGCGGGGCCAGGAGCAACAAGUGGAGGAGGCGGACGGUGCUCAGAGAGGAGACCAGGAGGGCUGAGCUUCAAAAUGGACUCUCGGACCAUUUCUGUUUGGAAACGUCUUGUUUCAAUAAUACCACAAAAAGGCUGGUGUUGUUUUCCCCAGAUGUGCAUCAUCUCAGUGUAAUGCCUUCCCUGUCCAGGGCUCACCUGGCUGGUUGUGAGCCGGUGUGUUUUUGCUCUGAGGCCUUGGGAGCAACUGGCUCUGUGGGAGGUUCCAUCAAGACACAAAGCAGAGACUGCCAAGGUGGGCUGGUGACCCCUGACCCCGCCCUCCUCAGCAGGCUUUACAGGGGGAGCAGGGGUGCGGGCUGGGAGCCUAACAAAUGAUCCCACCAUGCAUGUGUGUAUUAUUUGUGUUGCAUCAACGUAUUUCAGGUUUUAAUGUACUGUGUGUGUGUAGGACGGGGAGUGUUUGAGUGCAUUUGGCACAUGCAUAAUUUAUUAAAUGUGUUUUGGCCAGGGAGUUUGUAUGGGAUGUGGUUUAUAUACACAGUAAUAUUGAUGAAUGGGGCCGAGAGGAAAGGCCAUUUGUCUGUGUUUUGUAAGUCCUUCAUACGUGAUCCAUGAAGUCCUCAGGACUUAACAUUGGAGGGAAAGAAACUGUGGGAAAUAACAGAACAUCAAUGUGUCUAUUCUGUUUUUUGGAGCUUUAAUUCGUUGCAUACCAAAACAAUU